rnacentral:rRNA from 1 species
UACAGGGGGGGCAAGCGUUGUUCGGAAUUACUGGGCGUAAAGGGUUCGUAGGUGGCCACUUAAGUCAGACGUGAAAUCCCUCAGCUUAACUGGGGAACUGCGUCUGAUACUGAGUGGCUUGAGUGCAGGAGAGGAAUGCGGAAUUCCAGGUGUAGCGGUGAAAUACGUAGAUAUCUGGAGGAACACCGGUGGCGAAGGCGGCAUUCUGGACUGUAACUGACACUGAGGAACGAAAGCCAGGGGAGCAAACGGG